rnacentral:rRNA from 1 species
CGGGACGGGUGAGUAACGCGUGGGAACCUGCCCUAUACAGGGGGAUAACAGUUAGAAAUGACUGCUAAUACCGCAUAAGCGCACGGAGCCGCAUGGCGCUGAGUGAAAAACGAUAGUGGUAUAGGAGGGACCCGCGUCUGAUUAGGUAGUUGGUGAGGUAACGGCCCACCAAGGCGACGAUCAGUAGCCGGACUGAGAGGUUGGCCGGCCACAUUGGGACUGAGAUACGGCCCAGACUCCUACGGGAGGCAGCAG